UCGAGUCACCAUUACCCGCUAAAAGCCUUCUUCGCCACUUUUCACCAUGCCAAACCUCUGUGUCUCCUGCACCUUCAACCCGCCGACUAUCACGCUGCUCGGCUCCACCAUCCGCGAAGACACCGUGCGCGCAAUGGAGGCUCAACUCCCCCUUGCCACGUCGACCGCUGUGAAUCCUAGCAAGGAUCCAGCCAAGUUCAUCUUUCUCUCGAAUCCUGAUCACUGGCGUAUGGAUCUGAAUCAGCACUUCUGCGACGAGCUCCACAAGUCCUCGGUUUUCCUUGUGAUUCUUCAGUCCCUUGAGGAAGAGGGCUGGCGUCUUCGCGCCUCGAACAAUGUGGUAAACAAGGAAAAUGAUCGUGAGACCGUAAAGCUCUUCUUUACGCGCGCGUGAGCUUCAUGUACAAUCAUCGCGCACCUUUCUUUUUCAUUGAUUAGGGCCAACUCCCCACCGAUGUAAAAAAAAAUCCUGAAAGUGGGAUGACACAAUUCAGUGACAAUGGAAAAAAAAGAAGCGUGACUGGUAUUCAAGCUUCACACACGUAUUUCCCCCCAUACACAAGGAUGUGUUAUUGUUUUCUACUUGAUUCGGGUACGCUCACCACAGCGCACCUCGUCUGAAAAGCACUUGAUACUGUUCCUUUUUUCGCGUAUGUUCAUCUAUG
rnacentral:misc_RNA from 1 species